UGGCGGACGGGUGAGUAAUGUCUGGGAAACUGCCUGAUGGAGGGGGAUAACUACUGGAAACGGUAGCUAAUACCGCAUAACGUCGCAAGACCAAAGAGGGGGACCUUAGGGCCUCUUGCCAUCGGAUGUGCCCAGAUGGGAUUGGCUAGUAGGUGGGGUAACGGCUCACCUAGGCGACGAUCCCUAGCUGGUCUGAGAGGAUGACCAGCCACACUGGAACUGAGACACGGUCCAG
rnacentral:rRNA from 1 species